CGGCUUGGGGAGCUGCCAGACAGGCGGCUGAGAGGGACAGAUGUGCCGACCCAUAUAACCUGAUUCGGAUAAUGCCGACGUAGGAAAGGAGAGUUAAA
rnacentral:ncRNA from 1 species